CCUACGGGGGGCAGCAGUGAGGAAUAUUGGUCAAUGGACGAGAGUCUGAACCAGCCAAGUAGCGUGAAGGAUGACUGCCCUAUGGGUUGUAAACUUCUUUUAUAUGGGAAUAAAAUGUUCCACGUGUGGGAUUUUGUAUGUACCAUAUGAAUAAGGAUCGGCUAACUCCGUGCCAGCAGCCGCGGUAAUACGGAGGAUCCGAGCGUUAUCCGGAUUUAUUGGGUUUAAAGGGAGCGUAGGUGGAUUGUUAAGUCAGUUGUGAAAGUUUGCGGCUCAACCGUAAAAUUGCAGUUGAAACUGGCAGUCUUGAGUACAGUAGAGGUGGGCGGAAUUCGGGGUGUAGCGGUGAAAUGCUUAGAUAUCACGAAGAACUCCGAUUGCGAAGGCAGUUCACUGGACUGCAACUGACACUGAGGCUCGAAAGUGUGGGUAUCAAACAGGAUUAGAUACCCCUGUAGUC
rnacentral:rRNA from 1 species